UACGUAGGGUGCAAGCGUUGUCCGGAUUUAUUGGGCGUAAAGAGCGUGUAGGCGGCUAGAUAGGUCCGUUGUGAAAACUCGAGGCUCAACCUCGAGACGUCGAUGGAAACCAUCUGGCUAGAGUCCGGAAGAGGAGAGUGGAAUUCCUGGUGUAGCGGUGAAAUGCGCAGAUAUCAGGAAGAACACCCGUGGCGAAGGCGGCUCUCUGGUACGUGACUGACGCUGAGACGCGAAAGCGUGGGGAGCAAACAGG
rnacentral:rRNA from 1 species